rnacentral:rRNA from 1 species
UGGGGAAUUGUUCGCAAUGGGCGCAAGCCUGACGACGCAACGCCGCGUGGAGGAUGAAGAUCUUCGGGUCGUAAACUCCUGUCGAGUGGGAAGAAUAGUUUCCGGGCGAAUAUCCCGGGAGCCUGACGGUACCACUAAAGGAAGCCCCGGCUAACUCCGUGCCAGCAGCCGCGGUAAUACGGGGGGGGCAAGCGUUGUUCGGAAUUACUGGGCGUAAAGGGCUCGUAGGCGGCCAACUAAGUCGGAUGUGAAAUCCCCAGGCUCAACCUGGGAACUGCAUCCGAUACUGGAUGGCUUGAAUUCGGGAGAGGGAUGCAGAAUUCCAGGUGUAGCGGUGAAAUGCGUAGAUAUCCGGAGGAACACCGGUGGCGAAGGCGGCUUCCUGGACCGAUUACUGACGCUGAGGCGCGAAAGCUAGGGGAGCAAA